AUGAACGCUAGCUACAGGCUUAACACAUGCAAGUCGAGGGGCAGCAUGGUCUUAGCUUGCUAAGGCCGAUGGCGACCGGCGCACGGGUGAGUAACACGUAUCCAACCUGCCGUCUAUUCUUGGACAGCCUUCUGAAAGGAAGAUUAAUACAAGAUGGCAUCAUGAGUCCGCAUGUUCACAUGAUUAAAGGUAUUCCGGUAGACGAUGGGGAUGCGUUCCAUUAGAUAGUAGGCGGGGUAACGGCCCACCUAGUCUUCGAUGGAUAGGGGUUCUGAGAGGAAGGUCCCCCACAUUGGAACUGAGACACGGUCCAAACUCCUACGGGAGGCAGCAGUGAGGAAUAUUGGUCAAUGGGCGAGAGCCUGAACCAGCCAAGUAGCGUGAAGGAUGACUGCCCUAUGGGUUGUAAACUUCUUUUAUAAAGGAAUAAAGUCGGGUAUGCAUACCCGUUUGCAUGUACUUUAUGAAUAAGGAUCGGCUAACUCCGUGCCAGCAGCCGCGGUAAUACGGAGGAUCCGAGCGUUAUCCGGAUUUAUUGGGUUUAAAGGGAGCGUAGAUGGAUGUUUAAGUCAGUUGUGAAAGUUUGCGGCUCAACCGUAAAAUUGCAGUUGAUACUGGAUAUCUUGAGUGCAGUUGAGGCAGGCGGAAUUCGUGGUGUAGCGGUGAAAUGCUUAGAUAUCACGAAGAACUCCGAUUGCGAAGGCAGCCUGCUAAGCUGCAACUGACAUUGAGGCUCGAAAGUGUGG
rnacentral:rRNA from 1 species